rnacentral:rRNA from 1 species
UUAAGAGGUAAAUUUAAUAUUAAGAGAGUAUUAGUUAUUUUCUUGAAAUAUAAAAAAUUUGGCGGUAUUUUAUUCAAAUUAGGGGAAUCUGUUUAUUAAUUGAUAAUCCACGAUUUAAGAUACUUAGAUUUUAAGUUUAUAUAUCGUCGUAAAAAAUAUGUUAAAAAAUCUAAAUUUUAGAAUUUAAUUAAUUUAUUAAUUUAUUAUAUUAUAUCAGAUCAAGAUGUAACAAUAUUUAAGAAUUAAAUGGAUUACAAUAAAUUUAUUUAAGGAUUUAUAAUGAAAUGGUUAAUGAAAGGGGACUUAAUAGUAAUUAAAUAAAUUUAUAUUUAAUGAAGUUAGCUCUGAAAUAUGU